GAUGAAGAACGUAGCGAAAUGCGAUAAGUAAUGAGAAUUGCAGAAUUCAGUGAAUCAUCGAAUCUUUGAACGCACCUUGCGCCCUUUGGCUAUUCCGAAGGGCAUGCCUGUUUGAGUAUCGUGAACACCUCAACUCUCAUGGUUUGCCAUGAUGAGCUUGGACUUUGGGGGUUUUGCUGGCCUUUGGUCGGCUCCUCUCAAACGGAUCAGCUUUCCAGUGUUUGGUGGCGUCACGGGUGUGAUAACUAUCUACGCCUGUGGUUUUCUGCCAGAUAACCUUCAGCGAUGGAGGUUCGCUGGGGCUCAUAAAUGUCUCUCUUCAGUGGAGACAGCUUUUUGGACGUUUGAUCUCAAAUCAGGUAGGACUACCCGCUGAACUUAAGCAUAUCAAUAAGCGGAGGA
rnacentral:misc_RNA from 1 species